AGAAGUCGACUGAAAGUGAUUAACCGAGAGGUGAACAUGGUUGCCCCAGCAAAGGCAAAUUAUCUGAAGUGGUCUCAAACACCCAUCACAUUCGACCAAUCUGAUCACCCGACUCAUAUUGCCACCCCUGGGAGGCAAGCUUUGGUGGUCGAUCCAGUUGUCGAAGGCACUCGACUGACAAAGGUGCUGAUGGAUGGUGGAAGUGGGCUGAACUUAUUAUAUGCAGACACAUUGAAAGGUAUGGGCAUUCCGAUGUCCCGACUGAGCACUAGUAACAUGAGCUUCCAUGGAGUUAUACCAGGGAAGAAGGCCGAGUCACUCGGCCAGAUAGCUUUGGACGUAGUGUUUGGUGAUUCGAAGCAUUUUCGCAAAGAAAAGUUGACGUUUGAGGUCGUGGAUUUUCAAAGUGCAUAUCAUGCCAUUUUGGGGAGACCAGCCUAUGCACGGUUCAUGGCUCGACCAUGUUACGUGUACCUCAAAUUGAAGAUGCCCGGUCCC
rnacentral:rRNA from 1 species